GCACGUAGUUAGCCGAGACUUAUUCCUGGGAUACUGUCCUUUCUCAUCUCCCAGAAAAGCACUUUACGACCCGAAGGCCUUCAUCGUGCACGCGGCGUUGCUGCAUCAGGCUUUCGCCCAUUGUGCAAUAUUCCCUACUGCUGCCACCCGUAGGUGUAUGGACCGUGUUUCAGUUCCAUUGUGGGGGGCCACCCUCUCAGGUCCCCUACCCGUCGUCGCCUUGGUGAGCCGUUACCUCACCAACUAGCUGAUGGGACGCAGGUCCCUCCCAAAGCGAAUUGCUCCUUUAGUCAUCAGCUUCUAAAUCCAAUGACCACAUGCGGUAUUAGCAAUCCUUUCGGACUGUUAUCCCACACUUUGGGGUAGGUCACCAACGCGUUACUCACCCGUUCGCCACUAGGAUACUCUCGUAUUGCUACAAAAGCACCUCGUUCGACUUGCAUGUAUUAGGCACGCCGCCAGCGUUCAUC
rnacentral:rRNA from 1 species